UACGGGGGGAGCAAGCGUUGUUCGGAUUUACUGGGCGUAAAGGGCGCGUAGGUGGCGGGACAAGCGUGCGGUGAAAGCCUGGGGCUCAACCCCGGGGUCGGCCGUGCGAACUGUUUUGCUUGAGCACUGUAGAGGCAGGCGGAAUUCCGGGUGUAGCGGUGGAAUGCGUAGAGAUCCGGAAGAACACCGGUGGCGAAGGCGGCCUGCUGGGCAGUAGCUGACACUGAGGCGCGACAGCGUGGGGAGCAAACAGGG
rnacentral:rRNA from 1 species